rnacentral:rRNA from 1 species
UUUCCGUAGGUGAACCUGCGGAAGGAUCUUGU